rnacentral:rRNA from 1 species
UCCACGCCCUAAACGAUGAACACUAGCCUUGACAUUGAAGAAACACACUAGAGAUAGAGUGGUGCCCUUCGGGGAAUCUGAAAACAGGUGCUGCACGGCUGUCGUCAGCUCGUGUCGUGAGAUGUUGGGUUAAGUCCCGCAACGAGCGCAACCCUCGUCCUUAGUUGCCAGCAGGUUAAGCUGGGCACUUUAAGGAGACUGCCUUCGUAAGGAGGAGGAAGGUGAGGACGACGUCAAGUCAUCAUGGCCCUUAUGGCUAGGGCUACACACGUGCUACAAUGGGGCGUACAGAGAGUUGCGAUACCGCGAGGUGGAGCCAAUCUCAUAAAGCGUCUCUCAGUUCGGAUAGCAGUCUGC